UCGCCUGUUUAUCAAAAACAUAGCCUAGUGAUCUAUACUAGGUGAAACCUGCCCAGUGCGUUAGUCAACGGCCGCAGUACCCUGACUGUGCUAAGGUAGCAUAAUCAGUUGGCUUUUAAAUGGAGUCGGGAAUGAAUGGAUUAAUGGGGUUAAGCUGUCUCUCUUACACUUAUUUGAACUUUUUUAUUAGGUGAAAAUACCUAAAUGUAGAAAAAAGACGAGAAGACCCUAGGAGUUUUAACUAAAACUUUUUAAUGGUUACGUUUUUGUUGGGGCGACAAGAGAGGAAAUGAACCUCUUUUUUGAAUUAGCCGACUUUGUAAGUAAAUUUAAACUACCCUAGGGAUAACAGCGUAAUUCUUUUUGAGUUUGCGACCUCGAUGUUGGACUAGGAAUUUGGUAGGUUAGCCGCCUAUUAAAAUUGUUCUGUUCGAACUAAUUUUCCUACGUGAUCUG
rnacentral:rRNA from 1 species